AAGCCUAAGGAACGCAAACCAACAGGGUCAAAGCUCUUCUAUAGGAAAAUGACUCUAAUACGAAGUAGUAUUUUAGGAAAAGCUGUGCUGAAUAUUUUCAGGCCACCAAAGCAUGUGAUCUGACAUACUGCUGGCAGAGAUCAGCCUGCAGUUGGAGCUUGGAUGGGAUGAGAAGCCUGGUGCUCUGCUGACACUAAUGCUGUCACUGCACGUUGGUCAGGACUCUGCUCGGGUGUCAAAAGGUUCUUUGGUUCUCAGAUUCGGGCUCUGAGCAAGUGUAUAGCUCCAGGAUGAGGCUGCUAAAACUUUCUCAUGCUACUUCAACUCACAGAUUUCUUUCUGAGACAAAUACUUGAACAGUUUUCAUCUAGUAAGUGAACCUGAAAUACGAACAAGUCAGCAGCAGCCACCACCUGUGCACGAUCCACAAAAGGAGUGCCUGACUGCGAGGGAUCAGUAUCCAAGCUGAUAUGGGAUCAGUGUGACUAUAAUAACAGUGGUUGGCAUAUUAGAGUUCAGUCUUAUUUUUCUAAACAAACACCUUAAAAUAAAACUAUGUGAUGCAGUCCACUCAUGUUGCAAAGGAGCAACUUACCCUUCAAGAUUAAUCUAAAGCGGUAAUAUGUGUACAAGCACAUCUUUGGGCCUAGCAAAUAUCUAUGAUGAGAAAGUCACGCUGCAAUAAAAUAUUUCUGAAACAGGUAAGCAGCUGUGGCAUUGUGUGUGAGAUGGGCUGUGUGAGAUGGAUAGUGCUUCCUGAAUUACUUCAAUGGCUUCUGUGUGAUUCAUCUGUCUCAAAGCAGCGAUCAACUCCUGAACUGUACCACCAGAAACCUAAGAGAGAAGACACCAGAUGCUCACCAUCAACCAGGCUGGCUAAAACCGUCCAGAAGGACAGUGUUCUCUACACGUCUGAAAGUUCUUUAUAACUUGUUACAGCCACAUUACCUCAUAGUUAUCUAGCAG